CAUGUUUCAGCUGUAUGCUAAAGCACAUGUUAUUCAAUUAUCACAAACCACAUUCUUUAAUUGAGUAUCGAUUAUAUUGCUUGGUUUGGAUGAAACCGCACCUAUAAAAUUGGAGAGAUACCAGGUCAUGUAAUUUGGAGUAUUAUGGCGAGCCUUAGCUACCUUCUUUAUGUUUUGGUAAGCCUUUUGAACCCAGUUAGCUACCUUCUUUAUGGUCAUGACCGGUUCAACUAUAAACCAGCAGCAGACGAUAAUGAGGUACAAUAUAAGACCUUGUUUGUGUUUGGAGACUCGCUGUAUGAUCCUGGCAACGAUCAAUACCUCCCUAAUGUCACCGUAGAAGAAUACCCAGCAACAACCUGGCCAUAUGGAGAAACCUUCUUUCAUCGCCCCAACGGAAGACUUUCCGAUGGCCGUAUAGUCCCGGACUUCAUCGCCAAGUUAGCAAACUUGCCAAUGCCUCCACCCUACCUGCAACCAGAUCCAAAAAAUUAUACCAACGGAGUCAGCUUUGCUUCAGCCGGUGCCGGAGUUCUAGUUGAAACUGAUCCAGGAACUAUAAAUCUUCCAUUACAAUUGAGCUACUUUAAGAACGUGACGGAGUUGUUGCAAGAGCAACUCGGUGAUGAAGAGGCCAAGAAGUUGCUGGGGAGUGCUGUGUACUUGAUUAGCAUGGGAGGCAAUGACUAUUUUACCUUCUACGCUGAAUACCAAGAAAAUGCCACCGAGGCCCUCCAGCAGGAAUUCAUAGGAAUUGUUAUCGGCAACUUGACCACUGUUCUCCAAGGAAUAUACGACUUAGGUGGGAGGAAAAUAGCAUUUCAAAAUGCAGGACCUCUUGGGUGCUUACCUUACGCAAAACAAGAAUACGACACUCAACUUGUAAUUGGGUGCGUUGAAGGGCUCCAGAGUCUGGCAAGGCAACACAAUAAAGCGUCUAGCUAGUGUCCUCAAAGAGCUAGAGAGCCAACUACCGGGGUUCAAAUAUUCGAUAUUCGAGUACUAUGAUGCACUUGGCGACCGAGUUCUUAACCCCAGCAAAUACGGCUUUAAGGAUGGAACAGAUGCGUGUUGCGGUAGAGGGGCGUACAGAGGAUCUGAUUGUGGCGGACUAAAUGGAACGGUGGCAUAUGAGUUAUGUAGUAAUCCUGGAGAUAGUGUGUGGUUUGAUGGGAGUCAUACAACUGAAAGGGCAAACCUGCAGUUGGCGGAACUGAUUUGGAGUGGAACACCCAAUGUGACAUGGCCUUACAAUGUCCAACAACUUUUUGAACAAGAAUAAUUUUGAUAAUUUUCUCAUUAUUGGAAUAAAUUUAAAACUAGUGAGGUAUAGUUGAUGGAGAUGAAACCAGUAAUGAAUGAUCCCAGUAUCAGUGCUAAUU